AUAUGAGCAUGUCCGAGUCAGAAUGACAACGCAAUCUGCACAUGCGUACGCUUUUAUUUCUCUUUCAACAAGCAACAGCGGUAAAACUGGGUGCUUCUGCAGUGUGCCGUGUCUGAAGUUCGACGCCAUGCCAGCCCUUUCACAAAGUAUCGCGCGUGACUGCGUUCAAACGAUCUUAGGUAACAAGUGGAAGAAAGUUUAACGAACGAAGCAAGUAUACUAUCUUACUUUUGCAACUGGUGGUGUACCAGUGUGUACCCACGUAAUGCCUCGAAAACGUCACACUAUAUAGAG
rnacentral:lncRNA from 1 species